rnacentral:rRNA from 1 species
GUGUCAGCCGCCGCGGUAAUACGGAGGGUGCAAGCGUUGUCCGGAUUUAUUGGGUUUAAAGGGUGCGUAGGCGGCCCGUUAAGUCAGUGGUGAAAUCCCAGGGCUCAACCCUGGAACUGCCAUUGAUACUGACGGGCUUGAGUUCGGUUAAGGCGGGCGGAACUGGUGGUGUAGCGGUGAAAUGCAUAGAUACCACCAAGAACCCCGAUUGCGUAGGCAGCUCGCUGAGCCGAAACUGACGCUGAGGCACGAAAGCGUGGGGAGCGAACAGGAUUAGAUACCCUGGUAGUCC